GUCCUCCUAUAGCUCCUCUCACCAUCCUCUACUGGUCGAUUGGUAUAGCCUGUUUUUUUGUUUUGUUUUAACCAAGCUAGUCUUGGCGACAUUCUCAAAGCGUAACUAGCUUAUAAUUUUAGGUCAGUUUGACAGAAUGGACAUACCAAGACUGGAGUGUGGACCUCAUCUUUCAAUCACACACGUGGGUAUACAGUAUGCUUGAAAAAACCAGUUGGGACACUGACAUGUCAUCCAUUCUUCUCCUUGUCCAUCUUCUGCCUCCCUCUGCUCAAGGCCACAACAAGCAGGGAAAGAUGCAGGGACCAGCAUCCAGCAGCAUCUGGAUGGCAUCACCGGAAGUCCACAAUAUCUGCUUGCCGUGGGUUUCCCAGAGAACGAUCAUUCACGCCUACUUCAUCGCGAUUGACAAACAUCCGGUACCUGGCUCACUGGGCUGUUUUGAUGAGCUUUUCAAAGCUCACUUUGUAUUUGGUACCUCAUACAGUCAGGGUCUGGCAAACAUGUACACUUUUCUACAAACGAGAUUGACAUUGAUACAACUAACGGCGAAUCCCAGGGUAGUACAGCUGAGGGCCAGAAUGUUGCAUUCAUCAGAUCUGUUUAAAAUAGACAUUUUUUUAUUUUGUUUUUGCAAAUGCCGCCAAGAAAAUGCCAUUAGCCUUGUAAAACAUCUGACGUUAAUUCAUGGUCAUUGUCCAGGGAAAUGUCUACAUUUAAAAAGUGUGGUCAGGUUGGUUGUUCACAUGUAUUUGGCACUUUGUCUGGAUUUACAAAGCAUCUUAACAAGGCACAUGAAGAGCUUACCGAAGCAGUUUCUGAUAAUGAUGGUGGAGGCCCCUCUACCGCUGCUAACAGUUUUGCAGCAAACAAUUUUGAUGUGCCAGCACCAAGCUCACAUUGUGAUUCAGCUCUGUAUAAUAAGAGUAUUGUAGAUAAUUGUGCCGCAACAAUAAAUCAACUCAAAGCAGCAGGAUUUGGUGAAUCCGCAAAGAACAGUUUUGUCAGUUCCAUGGAAGAGAGUUGAUGACAUGAGUAAAGCUAAAGAGUCAGUGAAGAAGUGUCUGUCUUUACAGGAAACUGGCAACAAUGAUCUAACAGGUGUAAAAUAUAAAUGCCACAUACAACAAUUUCAACCAUUUUACUGAGUUACAGUUCUUAUAAGGAAAUCAGUCAAUUGAAAUGAAUUCAUUAG